CCUAAGACAUGCAAGUCGAACGAGAUGGCCCAGUGAAGGUUGCGUGCUUGCACAAGACUGAAUCUGGAUCACCAUCUAGUGGCAGACGGGUGAGUAACACGUGGGUGACCUACCUUUCGUUGGGGAUAACAGUUGGAAACGAUUGCUAAUACCGAAUAAAAUAUAAGAGCCAAUUUUAUAUUGAAAGGAGCCUUUAAAGCUUCGCGAUUAGAUGGGCCUGCGGCGUAUUAACUUGUUGGUGAGGUAACGGCUCACCAAGGUAACGAUGCGUAGCCGAACUGAGAGGUUGAUCGGCCACACUGGGACUGAGACACGGCCCAGACUCCUACGGGAGACAGCAGUUAGGAAUAUUCGUCAAUGGGGGAAACCCUGAACGAGCAAUGCCGCGUGAGUGAUGACGGCCUUCGGGUUGUAAAGCUCUGUGAUCGGGGACGAAUGGCUGGUAUGCUAAUACCAUAUCAGAGUGACGGUACCCGAAUAGCAAGCCACGGCUAACUACGUG
rnacentral:rRNA from 1 species